rnacentral:lncRNA from 1 species
ACCCGAGUGGCCCCCAGCCGAGCGGGCCCCCACCUCCUGGCCCGGCCUGGGCCCUUCUGCGCCUCCCUUGGCCUUUGUCCAGCGCCAGGAGGCCGGUCCCGCGCCCGCGUCGGGCGCCUGGCUCUGUACGCGAGCCCGGGGAUCUGCGGCCUUCGUGCCCCCCCUCCCCCGCCCGCCCUUUCGUGGAGCCCGGCGCAGGCGGCUGCUGCCCGGGCGGGGGGUUGCGGCGCUCAGGGGAGGCCCCGGCUCCGCCCCGGGCCUGCCCAGGGGGAGAGCGGAGCGGCCCGCAGCCGGGUCGGGUCGGGGCCCCUCCCGGGAGGAGCGUGGAGCGGCGGCGGCGGCAGUAGAAAUAAUGGAAGAAUUGCAUAGCCUGGACCCACGACGGCAGGAAUUAUUAGAGGCCAGGUUUACUGGAGUAGGUGUUAGUAAGUUUGCUGGGGGAAGCGGGCCAGGAACCAGCCCUGGCAGAAGUGUUCCACCAGUUGCACGAUCCUCACCGCAACAUUCCUUAUCCAAUCCCUUACCGUGACGAGUAGCACAGCCCCUCUAUGGUUUAGAUGGCAGUGCUGCAAAGGAGGCAACAGAGGAGCAGUCUGCUCUGCCAAUCCUCACGUCAGUGAUGCUAGCAAAACCUCGGCUUGACACAGAGCAGCUGGCGUAAAGGAGAGCUGG